GCGCAAAUAGUUUAGUGGUAAAAUCGAACAUUCCCAUUGUUCAGUCCCUGGUUCGAUUCCUGGUUUGCGCA
rfam:Metschnikowia bicuspidata var. bicuspidata NRRL YB-4993 METBIscaffold_5, whole genome shotgun sequence.